rnacentral:lncRNA from 1 species
GGUAUUACUCCUUCUCUUAUACAAUUUAAAUCUGCGCCGCUGUCAAAUAAGGCAACAAAUUCUUUUUUGAAAUUGUAAUCGAGUAAAAGCGUUAUUUUUAUUAAAAACUUUUGAGUGGUAAAAUACUGAAGUUUAUGCAAAAAUUAAUCUUCAGAAAAGUCCAUAGCUGCAAAUAAAGUAUGAGCAGUAUUUUCUUCUGAGGAGCUUGCAACAUUAUGAGUAAUUUUAUCACUGAUAUCUUUAUUAAAAUUUUCUAAUUUGAAAAUUCUCUCGUCUAACGUUAUAUUAGAAGCCUUUAAUUCCAAGAUUUCUUUCUUGAGAUAAUUUAUCUUUGUACUUAAAUCUUGGACAGUAGCCCUCCUUUCAGGCUGAGAUUUGUUUUUCACCAUCCUUCUUAUUUCAGACAUGGUGUAUGGUCCCUUUUGAGAUGGAAUCCCUCCCAUCUCUGUCCCUACUAGAAGAUUCAACAGAAGGAUACUA